rnacentral:lncRNA from 1 species
AUGGAGGAGAAAAUGCAAGUAAUAAACAGUCAAACCGAAAUAGAUUCUUAUGUAAAACAAGCAGAAGACGAGUCACACUCCAAGUUCGUCUGUAUAUCCGUGGACCGAGGCUUCAGUGACAAAGAUUGGCAGCCUUUACCCACUAACAGAGUGUACUGGCAGUGGUCGGGAGGAGGUUGGACGCCAUCCAUUGAAUUCACCGGGGUCCCCUUUAUGUUUGUUGGGGGCAAGAGACUCGGGUGUUAUCGAGGCAAAGACCGCGCAGUGGCCCAGAAGAAGAAAUAUGCAGAGGAGAAGGCCAAAAGGAUGAUGGGGGAAGACUACAGCACUUUAAGCCACAUGUCUCGUUCACAACAUACUAAAAAAGUGGGAUGUCCCGCCACAAUAUCCAUCAGCAAGAUUGCAAUGUUUCCUAAAUUCAAGCUCAGCGACAACAGGGAGAGGACUCGGAAGAGAACUUCAAAGGCACUGAGACUGGCUUUACAAAAAGACCCAGUGGUUUGGGAGAGCAGCUUUGUCAUCACACACCACAGUGAGCACAGUAUUUCUUAACAUUCAGUAAACACGUGAAUAUAAAACACUAGACAGAUCUCACGUAUGAACAUUUACACUGUCUACCACUUGAUGGCGCACUUUGCGCAUAAGUGAAGAGAUUGGUUUGCAAAUAGUCGUUUAGAAUGUGUCUGUGUAGAGUUAGAAAGGGGAGUUUUGGUAAUCCUGUGC